rnacentral:misc_RNA from 1 species
CACACUUGGCAUACAUAUCAAUCAAAGCAUUAGCCAAUGCCAAGUCCCCCUCAAGGCCUCUGCAAAUAAUGCCUCCAUGAAUCAGUUGUCCACAACUCAAAACUGCUAGAUUAGCACAGGCUGCUAUUACACUAGUAAAAGUGAUGCAGUCUGGUCUAAAACCAUUAGACUCCAUUUGUGAAAAUAUAAAAAAAGACUCACUAGAAUCAGAUUUUUCAUAUCCUGCUAUUAAUGUAUUCCACGUGAUCAAAUCCUUUUGAGUCAUCUCAUGGAAAUACUGAUUUGCCUCAGAUAAACAACCACACCUACAAUACAUGUCUACUAUAGAAUUCAUGACAGGAAGACUGGAUUCACAACCGUGUUUAAUUACUGCCGUAUGAAUUUGUUUGCCAUAAUUCUGACAACCAAUUGAAGCACAAGCUCUAAUGGCAAUUGAAAAGCUAUAUGGAUUGCUUUCUGCUUCCUCCAGUAACAUUUGCCGGAAGACUUGAAGUCCAUGAUGGCCAUUACCUCCAUGAGUGUAACCAGCGAUCAAGGUAGUCCACGACACAGGAUUCUUCAACUCAAUACCGCGAAAAACCAUGUAUGCGUCCCUCAUGCUAGCGCAGCAAGUAGCAUACAUAUCCAUUAGUGCAUUAUCCACAUAAAUAAACCCUUGUAUGCCGUGCUUAAUAGCAAACCCAUGAACCAAAACCCCACAAGAAAGACUUUUCAUGCCUUUACAAGCCUUUAACACACUUGAUACCGUAAAUUCAUCUGGGUUCAUCUCACUCCUUACCAUAUUACAGAACAUACCCCAUGCAUAGGCGUGCUCGUUGCAAGAUGCGUACCCUGCAAUCAUGGUAGUCCACGCAACCACGUCUCUGUCAGGCAUUUCGUCGAACAGGGAGCGUGCUUCUCUAAUUAAGCCCUUUUCAAAGUAGGAUUUUAUGAGAUCAGUGGCCAAAAAGGAAGAUGCUUUUGGUGCGUAAGCUGUGUUUAACUGAAUGGGAGUGUUUUGGGAACAGUCUAGAUAGUUUUUGAUCAUGGGAGGGAAUGGGCGGAAACGAGCGGUACUAGAUAGUAACCUUUUUGAACUCAUUUCUAGCGCGUAACGUGAUCAUGGCACCCUCCAG